UAAUACCCAAUGAUAUCUCUAGAAGACAUCUGAAGGAGAUUAAAGAUUUAUCGGUGAUGGAUGGGGAUGCGUCUGAUUAGCUUGUUGGCGGGGUAACGGCCCACCAAGGCUACGAUCAGUAGGGGUUCUGAGAGGAAGGUCCCCCACAUUGGAACUGAGACACGGUCCAAACUCCUACGGGAGGCAGCAGUGAGGAAUAUUGGUCAAUGGGCGAGAGCCUGAACCAGCCAAGUAGCGUGCAGGAUGACGGCCCUAUGGGUUGUAAGCUGCUUUUAUAAGGGAACAAAGUGAGUCUCGUGAGACUUUUUGCAUGUACCUUAUGAAUAAGGACCGGCUAAUUCCGUGCCAGCAGCCGCGGUAAUACGGAAGGUCCGGGCGUUAUCCGGAUUUAUUGGGUUUAAAGGGAGCGUAGGCCGGAGAUUAAGCGUGUUGUGAAAUGUAGACGCUCAACGUCUGCACUGCAGCGCGAACUGGUUUCCUUGAGUACGCACAAAGUGGGCGGAAUUCGUGGUGUAGCGGUGAAAUGCUUAGAUAUCAUGAAGAACUCCGAUUGCGAAGGCAGCUCACUGGAGCGCAACUGACGCUGAAGCUCGAAAGUGCGGGUAUCGAACAGGAUUAGAUACCCUGGUAGUCCGCACGGUAAACGAUGGAUGCCCGCUGUUGGUCUGAAUAGGUCAGCGGCCAAGCGAAAGCAUUAAG
rnacentral:rRNA from 1 species